rnacentral:rRNA from 1 species
UUUUAUGGAGAGUUUGAUCCUGGCUCAGGAUGAACGCUGGCGGCGUGCCUAAUACAUGCAAGUCGAGCGAACGGACGAGAAGCUUGCUUCUCUGAUGUUAGCGGCGGACGGGUGAGUAACACGUGGAUAACCUACCURUAAGACUGGGAUAACUUCGGGAAACCGGAGCUAAUACCGGAUAAUAUUUUGAACCGCAUGGUUCAAAAGUGAAAGACGGUCUUGCUGUCACUUAUAGAUGGAUCCGCGCUGCAUUAGCUAGUUGGUAAGGUAACGGCUUACCAAGGCAACGAUGCAUAGCCGACCUGAGAGGGUGAUCGGCCACACUGGAACUGAGACACGGUCCAGACUCCUACGGGAGGCAGCAGUAGGGAAUCUUCCGCAAUGGGC